rnacentral:rRNA from 1 species
UGGGGAAUAUUGCACAAUGGGCGCAAGCCUGAUGCAGCCAUGCCGCGUGUAUGAAGAAGGCCUUCGGGUUGUAAAGUACUUUCAGUCGGGAGGAAGGUGGUAAGGUUAAUAACCUUAUCAAUUGACGUUACCGACAGAAGAAGCACCGGCUAACUCCGUGCCAGCAGCCGCGGUAAUACGGAGGGUGCAAGCGUUAAGCGGAAUUACUGGGCGUAAAGCGCACGCAGGCGGUUGAUUGAGUCAGAUGUGAAAUCCCCGGGCUUAACCCGGGAAUUGCAUCUGGUACUGGUCAGCUAGAGUCUUGUAGAGGGGGGUAGAAUUCCAUGUGUAGCGGUGAAAUGCGUAGAGAUGUGGGGGAAUACCGGUGGCGAAGGCGGCCCCCUGGACGAAGACUGACGCUCAGGUGCGAAAGCGUGGGGAGCAAACAGG